rnacentral:rRNA from 1 species
CGCUGAACUUAAGCAUAUCAAUAAGCGGAGGAAAAGAAACCAACAGGGAUUGCCUCAGUAACGGCGAGUGAAGCGGCAACAGCUCAAAUUUGAAAUCUGGUCCCUUUCGGGGCUCGAGUUGUAAUUUGUAGAGGAAGUCUUCGGGUUUGGCCCUGGCCUAAGUUCCUUGGAACAGGACGUCACAGAGGGUGAGAAUCCCGUAUGUGGCUGGUGGUCUAUGUCCAUGUGAAGCUCCUUCGACGAGUCGAGUUGUUUGGGAAUGCAGCUCAAAAUGGGUGGUAAGUUUCAUCUAAAGCUAAAUACCGGCGGGAGACCGAUAGCGCACAAGUAGAGUGAUCGAAAGAUGAAAAGCACUUUGGAAAGAGAGUUAAAAAGUACGUGAAAUUGUUGAAAGGGAAGCGCUUGCGACCAGACUUGCCCUCGGUUGAUCAACCUGGUGUUCUUCACCGGUGCACUCUGCUGAGGUCAGGCCAGCAUCCGUUUGGGCGGUUGGAGAAAGGCCGUGGGAAUGUGACUUCCUUCGGGGAGUGUUAUAGCCCUCGGUGUCAUGCGACCAGCCUGACUGAGGACCGCGCCUUUGGUGGCUAGGAUGCUGGCAUAAUGGUCGUAAGCGACCCGUCUUGAAACACGGACUAAGGAGUCUAACAUCUAUUGCGAGUGUUUGGGUGUCAACCCACACGCGUAAUGAAAGUGAAUGGAGGUGGGAACCCUCAAGGGGUGCACCAUCGACUGAUCCUGAUGUCUUCGGAUGGAUUUGAGUAAGAGCAUACCUUUGGGACCCGAAAGAUGGUGAACUAUGCCUGAAUAGGGUGAAGCCAGAGGAAACUCUGGUGGAGGCUCGCAGCGGUUCUGACGUGCAAAUCGAUCGUCAAAUUUGGGUAUAGGGGCGAAAGACUAAUCGAACCAUUGUUGAGAAGCACAUUAGAUAUUCUCGCUGGAUGGAAGUUUGGGAACACACACAUAUACGCACCGCACGCACAAAAGCUUGUUGCUUCACGUUAGAUUUUGGGGUGGGUGGUGUUUUUUCUGAACUUGCUACACGAGUGUAUAUCUCUGCUAUUAGGUGGUUAAGAGGCGGAUAAAAGGUCCGUCUAGUCCUUGUUCACAGGGCGACACUGUCAAAUUGCGGGGACACCCUUAGAGCUCAAACAACCGCAGCCUAACUGAAAGGUAGGUGCGCACCAGGGUAAUGACCUCGGGGAUGGUAAUAUUGUUUGAGAUUGGGCAAUCCGCAGCAAAGUCCUACAGGCCUUAUUUGAAUGGCCCAAGGAUGAAGUUCACAGACUAGAUGGCAGUGGGUAAGAGGACAAUUGCGUAGUGUCCCUUGCUUAAGGUAUAGUCGAGCCACCGGGAGACCGGGCGGUUGGGAUGAAGCACUUUAGGGGUGAGCUCUGCACCUAGCUGCAGGUCCUUCUGUGCCCGAGCCCACCGGAGAGCAUUAGCUCUUGGGUAUAUAUAAUGCUAGUAGCUGGUUCCUGCCGAAGUUUCCCUCAGGAUAGCAGUAACGUAUUCAG